rnacentral:misc_RNA from 1 species
AACGCACAUUGCGCCCCUUGGUAUUCCGGGGGGCAUGCCUGUUCGAGCGUCAUUAUAACCCUCAAGCCUUGCUUGGUGUUGGAGCAUGCUUACCUAGCAGCUCUUAAAAUCAGUGGCAGUGCCCUUCGGCUCUAAGCGUAGUAAUUCUUCUCGCUAUAGGGUCUGGAGGGUCCGCGCCAGAACCCCCAACUUUCUAUGGUUGACCUCGGAUCAGGUAGGGAUACCCGCUGAACUUAA